ACUGUCAGAUGCAGGGGGCUGAGGAACACCAGGUCCCAGCAAAGCAUGGUGUGCCAGUGCCUGAGGCAGUCAGAGGAGAGCAUCAGAUUCAUCCGCCCCCGGCCCCGAGUCGGAGUUACAGACGAUUGUGAGCUGCCUGACAUAGCUGCCGGGAAGCCAACUUGGGUCCUCUGUAAGACCAGCCCAUACCCUUAAACUCUCAACCAUUUCUCCAGCCCCCAUCACUGACAUUUUAAUCAUCCUCAAAUCUGCCUCAAAGAAUGUGUAACAAGACAGCUCUUGUUUCCCUGGGAACUUUCAUUCAGAGACCAUAAGCAGAAUUCACUCUCUAUGACCCUGAGAAGACAAGAAGGGACCUGGCAUCCUGAGCCACACAGGCCAGUGGGCACCGUGGGCAGCUGUCUUACACAGUUGUCACUUCCCCCUUGCUAAGUCUCAGUGGGACACCAACUAUGCCCAUCCUACUAGGUUAUAGGGUGUAAUUAUCAUGUCCUAGUUCUAUAUUAAAUCUGAUGCAAUAAA
rnacentral:lncRNA from 1 species